CCUACGGGAGUCAGCAGUAGGGCAUAUUGCUCAAUAGGGGAAACCCUGAAGCAGCAACGCCGCGUGGAGGAUGAAGGUUUUCGGAUUGUAAACUCCUUUUGUUAGAGAAGAUAAUGACGGUAUCUAACGAAUAAGCCCCGGCUAACUCCGUGCCAGCAGCCGCGGUAAUACGGAGGGUGCAAGCGUUACUCGGAAUCACUGGGCGUAAAGAGCGCGUAGGCGGGAUAGCCAGUCAGAUGUGAAAUCCUAGGGCUUAACCAUAGAACUGCAUUGGAAACUGUUAUUCUAGAGGAUGGGAGAGGUAGGUGGAAUUCUUGGUGUAGGGGUAAAAUGCGGAGAGAUCAAGAGGAAUACUCAUUGCGAAGGCGACCUGCUAGAAAAUAACGGACGCUGAUGCGCGAAAGCGUGGGGAGCAAACAGGAUUAGAUACCACAGUAGUC
rnacentral:rRNA from 1 species